rnacentral:misc_RNA from 1 species
GCUAAGAAAACAAUCUACAUGUCCUGUUUGUCGGUUUCCAGUACAAGACUCUUUGGUAACAAAGCGUAUGAGACAAGCAACAAUGGGUAUGCUGCGAUCUGUGGAUAGUCCUGAGACUUCAACUGAACAUUCUCGGCAAUGGCUACUACCUGGUUCUGAGCGUUCAGUGGGGAAUGCUAGUCACCCAGGGCACCUCGACACCGUUUCUGGAAACCCAGAACUUGCUCCAGAAGAGCCACAAACAAGGCAUUGAUAAAGCAAAGAAAUCCGUGUAGUUAAGACAGCAAUAUAUUCAUUUUGAUUCCUGGAAGCUAUCUUACAUGUGCUUCAAGCCAACUUCUGACACUUUUGGGGCAUUGAAUUUCCUUGUUAGAGUAAGUAUAUACAGCUUGAGAUUUUGCGUAAAUCUGUACAUAAAAUUCCUUGAAUCUCUCUGUAGCAUGGUACUGAGACUGAAUCCUGCUCAUUGUGACAGAACCAUCAUAAUCCUGAAAAGUUGUCAUCGCAAACUCAUGAUAGAUUUUCUAUUGAACUUCUCCAAAUAUUUAGCUGAGCUUGUCAAAUUUUGAAUGUGGGCCAAACCUUUAAAAUGAUCAAGUGAAGGAUGAUUUUCAGCCAUAUGAUUCAAAAGGAUUUUGUGGGAGCAGAGUGCAAGUGUGCCAUUGGCCAUUGGUCUCAUACUAGAUUUGUCGCUGGUCGAAUACCAAGGGGUUAUUUAAUAAUCCAGAAGCCAUGAAUUCUUCACCUGAUGUUCCUGUUGUAUAUGAAGUUAGAUACCUUCAAAUUCAAUUUGAUAUGCUGUGUCACUGCCACGCCUAUAGAGUUUGUGUUUCCGAAAUCCGAAUAUUUGCAUAGCCAAAUUAAUGUAUUUUCUCCCAACUUCAACGUCUCGAUGAUAGUCAUAUGCCAUGAUUAUCUUUAGGAGACGGCCAUGGAUGUGCUUUCCCUGUUCUAAGGGCCCCAUCGGAGCGCAAGCAGACAUCCUACUUGCACGUUGGAGUUGGAGUUCAGCAAACUGCAUCUAAGCAAAAACCUCCAAUGAAUGGAAACAUGACUGAAUUCAAUCAAAAUCAUAAAUCCCUUGUUUGUUUGGGAUGUAGAAUUUUACAAAAAU